ACUACUUCCCCUCUGCAUAAACUUUGGCUCCUGACUCCAGCAGGAGAUGUUCCAGUCAAGUAGAGCUUUCCCAGCCAGAGAGAUGUCCUACUGAGUAUUAUUUCAAAAGGGUAAAACAACAACGUCUUUGCUCACUGACCUUUGGAAGUUCAGAGGAGUCAGUAGAGAAAAUCCCUAGGCUUUAAAAAUGGCAUUAUUCUUGGAGCCUAAAUCAACAAUCUUCUAAUGUGGGAAGAGAUCUCCUAAUAGAGGAAAGGGUCUAUCAGCUGGUCAUCCUUGGCAGGAUCUGAGGCCAUGUGUACGUCAGCAGCUGUUGCCUCAGUCUUUGGAAUGAAGAGAUGGUUGCUAUGGAGAUCCCUGUUGUGGGAGAAGGAAACCAAUUGGGUGAGCUGGGGAAGGGGAUCAGAACUUGCAAAAGUAUGAGUAGAGGAGGAUAAAGUUAAGCAAAAUAACCAGUAGGGAGCUCAUCAGAGCUCUAUGGCCAAAGAAGACAGGUGGUCUCCACCUCCCUCCACUGAAUGAGAACCAUGUAUCACUGAUAGAGCUUCAGCAAUCACAGCUGCCAGUUUCUUUGAGCCUUGAGGAUACAGUCCAUCUGGGGUUGAGAUUUCCCAAAUCCUUUGCCCAGUCUUUGCAUGGUAUGAACAUGAAGUUCUCUACCUCUUAUGAACCAAUUUCAUCUUCUCAAUGUCCUCCUAAAAUGUGCCAUACAUGACUGAAACUAAUAAAUUGAUGUGAAACUUUCA
rnacentral:lncRNA from 1 species